rnacentral:rRNA from 1 species
GGGACUGAGACACGGCCCAGACUCCUACGGGAGGCAGCAGUGGGGAAUUUUCCGCAAUGGGCGAAAGCCUGACGGAGCAACGCCGCGUGCGGGAUGACGGCCUGUGGGUUGUAAACCGCUUUUCUCAGGGAAGAAGAUCUGACGGUACCUGAGGAAUCAGCAUCGGCUAACUCCGUGCCAGCAGCCGCGGUAAUACGGAGGAUGCAAGCGUUAUCCGGAAUUAUUGGGCGUAAAGCGUCCGCAGGCGGCCUAUCAAGUCUGCUGUUAAAUGUCGGGGCUCAACUCCGAUUUGGCAGUGGAAACUGAUAGGCUAGAGUACGGUAGGGGUAGAGGGAAUUCCCAGUGUAGCGGUGAAAUGCGUAGAUAUUGGGAAGAACACCAGUGGCGAAGGCGCUCUACUGGGCCGUAACUGACGCUGAGGGACGAAAGCUAGGGGAGCGAAAGGGAUUAGAUACCCCUGUAGUCCUAGCUGUAAACGAUGGACACUAGGUGUUGGCCGUAUCGACCCGGUCAGUAUCGUAGCUAACGCGUUAAGUGUCCCGCCUGGGGAGUACGCACGCAAGUGUGAAACUCAAAGGAAUUGACGGGGGCCCGCACAAGCGGUGGAGUAUGUGGUUUAAUUCGAUGCAACGCGAAGAACCUUACCAGGGUUUGACAUCCCGCGAAUCUUGAUGAAAGUUGAGAGUGCCUUCGGGAGCGCGGAGACAGGUGGUGCAUGGCUGUCGUCAGCUCGUGUCGUGAGAUGUUGGGUUAAGUCCCGCAACGAGCGCAACCCUCGUUUUUAGUUGCCAUCAUUAAGUUGGGCACUCUAGAGAGACUGCCGGGGACAACUCGGAGGAAGGUGGGGAUGACGUCAAGUCAUCAUGCCCCUUACAUCCUGGGCUACACACGUACUACAAUGCUACGGACAAAGGGCAGCAAGCUCGCGAGAGCAAGCUAAUCUCAUAAACCGUGGCUCAGUUCAGAUCGCAGGCUGCAACUCGCCUGCGUGAAGGAGGAAUCGCUAGUAAUCGCAGGUCAGCAUACUGCGGUGAAUACGUUCCCGGGCCUUGUACACACCGCCCGUCACACCAUGGAAGUUGGCCACGCCCGAAGCCGUUACUCCAACCUACGGGAGGAGGACGUCGAAGGCAGGGCUGAUGACUGGGGUG